GUGGCCCUGAAUCAAGGCCGGCAGCUUCCUGACACUGUUGGUUUCAAGCAGGAGCCUAAAGAGAUGGUUUUCUAUAGUCUGUUUGCCAUUUUAGAACUUGGCCAGUGAAAUGGUCAAUUCAUUAGAAAGAGACAGCU
ensembl:snoRNA